UGGCAAAAAGAUAUAACGAAAAAGCAAUACUAGGAACCACCUCCUUGCCAGCCCAAUCUCCCUUGGGCUGGUUUUCUU
rfam:Hafnia alvei FB1, complete genome.